rnacentral:rRNA from 1 species
CAGUUGAGCGAUUACUUCGGUAAGAGCGGCGGACGGGUGAGUAACGCGUGGGUAACCUACCCUGUACACACGGAUAACAUACCGAAAGGUAUGCUAAUACGGGAUAAUAUAUUUGAGAGGCAUCUCUUAAAUAUCAAAGGUGAGCCAGUACAGGAUGGACCCGCGUCUGAUUAGCUAGUUGGUAAGGUAACGGCUUACCAAGGCGACGAUCAGUAGCCGACCUGAGAGGGUGAUCGGCCACAUUGGAACUGAGACACGGUCCAAACUCCUACGGGAGGCAGCAGUGGGGAAUAUUGCACAAUGGGCGAAAGCCUGAUGCAGCAACGCCGCGUGAGUGAUGAAGGCCUUCGGGUCGUAAAACUCUGUCCUCAAGGAAGAUAAUGACGGUACUUGAGGAGGAAGCCCCGGCUAACUACGUGCCAGCAGCCGCGGUAAUACGUAGGGGGCUAGCGUUAUCCGGAUUUACUGGGCGUAAAGGGUGCGUAGGCGGUCUUUCAAGUCAGGAGUGAAAGGCUACGGCUCAACCGUAGUAAGCUCUUGAAACUGGGAGACUUGAGUGCAGGAGAGGAGAGUGGAAUUCCUAGUGUAGCGGUGAAAUGCG